GGAGAGGUGCCAGAGUGGUCGAAUGGGGCGGUCUCGAAAACCGUUGAACGUGCAAACGUUCCGAGGGUUCGAAUCCCUCUCUCUCCGCCA
rnacentral:tRNA from 2 species